ensembl:lncRNA
CUCGAGGACGCAGUCUUCCUCCCAGGAGAAGCUUUGCCGCUGUAGAAGCUGAAAUGUAAAAUCAAGGUAACGUUCUUCAAGGUCAACCACAGCUUUGAAGAAGGCCUUUGCACCCGAAGCAGCAGGCAUGGGGACAAAAUGCCAACUCCAUCCAGGAAGCUGCUGGGGUAAAGAGUGACGGUCUUUCCCCACAUCUCCACCCAUAGUCUCCAGAAGACGAGUGACUACGUGGUCUCUGGUGUACUCUGACCUGGACCGACGGGCAAACAAAGACGCUCCGAUGGCGAGGGACCACAGAUGGGACACGUGAGGGGAGUGACUUGUUUAGUUGACGCCCGUCCAGAUGUGAUGUGAGGAAACCAUCAGCCACCUUUGUGCCUUUGCACCGCUGCAAGAUUUGAACCAGCUUUGUUUACCACCGUGCAACAAAGUCAGUGGCAGGACACCUCGAAACCUUUUGCCAGAUGAGGUCAAACUACUCAUCUGUCCUCCGCUGCCAUGCGGCUGUGGAUUAUCUGAAAGCCGAGAGGAUGGGCCAGAAUCAGCCGAGGCUCGAAGCCGGGAGACUCGGAACCGCUGAACGUUGUUGUCAGUCAUUUUUCUCAACUGAAGUAUAUUCAGCCACUGCGGUUAUUAUUGUACGGUCGCUAGAAAGUGAAACUCCAUGGACAGUUCACAGAAAAAGUCAUAUUAAUAUUAAAAUGAAUUAAUUAAAUAUUAAACCAACUCUUGAAACAUUUCCACCACUGAGGAGGCUUCUUGUUUUUGUUUACCAGAAGGAGGCGUUUUGAUUUGGGCGUCAAUUUAACAGGGGAAUAUGCACACUUCCUGCUAUGUCCAUUUCUUUCUGC